GGAAGUCGCUAAUCCUGCUCAAAGAAGCAAGGAAGGAAAAUAACUUUAUUGGGUCUUGCAGAAUGCGACUGGGUCGCGCACCCGGCUCAGUUCCACGUAGGUACCGGCAAGCCGAGCCUGCCGGC
rnacentral:lncRNA from 1 species